CACGCUCUUUCGUCUUUUCUCUCUCGUAGUAUAUGACCUAACCUUAAAACGGAUUCAAACUACAGCAAAGUGUCCUAACCUCUUUCGCCGAGAGUAUAAGAACGCACUGACAGCUCCGUGGGAUUUUAAGCUUUAUGUCGGUUACUACCCAUAAGUCUACGGCGCAGCGACAACUGGUAUACGUUUUUUCAGUUGGCAAUCUUUCGUGAUAUUUGUAUAUCGCAUCACUGCAAGCUGCAAAUAUCGAAAUAAUACUACAAGUAAGUAGAAUAUCAUGAAAAUGUUAGUGUACUGCAUUCAGUCGGUUUUCCGUGCAAUCGAAUACGUGCAUAUUGACUGCCCCUUGUCACGCAUGACCGGCGAGAAAGCACAUGGUUUAUCAACAAGAUUCACCGCGAACCAUCAUCCCUCGAUACGACCCUCCUGAUCCUCCAGGCUGGUUUAAAGUCAGUCGACCGUGUAAUCGGUGAUAUGCCUGCUAGUUUGGCUCCACUGGUAAAGGGUCGGUUGACUUUUCUAAUUUUCAAACUAAACUAGGUUAGCCGUGCAGGUAUAUGACGCAACGUGGAAAGGGGAUACGAGCAAAUUGAAGUGAACAAAGAAAAAAAAAAAUGGCGUUACAGGCAACAAAGGAGGAUGGAUCACUGAAUGACAACUUGGUAAUGGAAAUCGAUAUACUUUCUAUAUAAAUUCGUUCAAUGGAAAUGUCACGAGAAGGAUGGAUGAAUUUUCAUGUUAUGACAAAAAUAAAUAAAUGUAUUAAAAUUUUGAAAUAUUUUUUUUCUAAUCUAGGUUAUGGUUAUCAAAGAAGAGUUUUUCAAUAUUGAUCAAAAUCGUAACAGUGAAUAUUAAUACCAGCUGGACCAGUGGCUGCUUUAAUGGUGAAUUUCGAAAAUCACUGAAUUUAUGCAUCACGUUAAUCAAAGAUCCCACAAGACCAUGUAAUUAGAGGAAACUGCUGGAAUACGUAAAUAGGUUAACUUUAUAGUGCCCGUGUGUACCUAGAGACAUAGGAACUACGUGAUCCAAUAUGAAUACCAGAAUUCACAAUGUCUCUCUUCAUACAAAUGUCAAAUAUUAUCCAGUCUUAGGAUAAGAAAAUGAAACAAAACGUUCUACACGAAAACAAAAAGGGUAUCGGCAAUCCAAUUCGUUAAAGUACAAUAAUAAUACUUGAAAAUACCAAUAGCGAAUUCAUAUAUUCCAUCAGCUACCCGACGGUCCUCGAUAAUUCAAAUGGUCAAUUAUUGAAAUAGCAGGCUCGCCCAUUCACCGUUUCCUGCUUUUACUGUAUCGAAGAGUGACGCAUGCGCAGUGAAGCAGUCCACAACGAAAAUCAAAGAGCUGCGAAACAAGUGGGCAAUCGGAAAAAGCGAUAAUUGAAAUAGCAUCGAGCGCACAGUAUGGAAUUUUAAUAUCGCCAGUAAAUAUUGGAGUUCCUCGGCUUCCCUAUUCUUUCAUGUAUAUCAGCUGAACGCUAUAUAUAUAUAUAUAUAUGUAUUUAUAUAAACGUACAGAAGUAUCUGCCCGGUAUAAGGUUCGUAAUGCGAGAAAUAGAAUUCCUAUAUCCACCUAUGAGAAAUUGCAGCGUUCCAAGAAAAGUGAUGUGUCACAAACUACACCGAAGGAAGCGAGUAAUUGAUGGAUCGCAUAUUUUUUAUAUCUUUUUUUUUUCGCAAUUGCAAGGAAUAUUUUCUCAUUCCAUUAGAAAUUUGCCUUAGUCACCAGUCAAGACUAUCUACGUGCUUGUAAUGCUAAAUCACUCUUACAUAACCGUCCAUGAUCUAAGCACAAGGUUAACACGGUGGAUGAGUGAUGAUAUUUAAGUGCCGGAUGUCAAGUUCAUCAAAAGUCCACGCCCAUGACUGUAAAUAGUCAAAACUUUGUCAACGUCCAUUAACGAAUCAUUGUAACGUAUGAGGACGCCAGUUCAUGUGAGUCUUGCUUGUGUGUAUUUAUGUGCGUGGAUACGACCCACUCCGCAUAUACCUAUUAGAAGGCGUUCGAUCCCCACCUAAUAAAAUCGAAAUAAUACCGGUAAAGCGAAUUGUCGUCCCUUUCAUCAACUAAUCAGCGAGCGAGUGAGAAGUAUCCCCGAACAAGAUAAUAAAUAAUACGCUCUGGGUGAUAGGGCCCUAAAUAUAUAUCAUCAUCUACAUUGUAAAAAUUCAGCUAAAAAUUUGAGGAACGGCGAUCGGACACGGCGACAAUUCGGCUCGACGAUACACCGUAGGACCAAGCCAUAAACUACUAUUCAUCUCCAUCGAUAUCAGCGGCUAAAUAACUAAUAGGACGAAUUACAGCGCCUCUGGUAGAACCCAACGAAAUUGGGGUGUCGAGGUGACGUUACCCACGAGGGGAAGAUGAAUAUUAUCGGUAGUGCUCCUGAACGAGGGACGAAAGAGAUGAAAAAUGAAACGUAUCCAGAAAGAAGGAAAGAGAUGGGAAAUAAUAAAUGGAUUGCUUGCGACACAUCAGCGACAAAUCUCAAGCGCUUAAUGAGCGCUUCUUCCGCUUCUGAUGACAAAAUAGCUUUGCAUGCAACGUCCCCCGUAGAGACCGGGAAUGGUGGCGGAAUGGUGGCAGUGAGAAUUCCUACCGGCGCAAACGGUCGUUCAGGAAGAAUGGUAAUGGCGAGCGUGCCUGCCCGGCGAGCGAAGCGUCCUGAUAGCUUGAUACAAGGAAAGGAAAAGGAAGUAGAUAAGAAGAAAAAACAGUGGGGAAAAAACUCCAAAGAAUAAUCCAACAAAGAAAUAUUAAAAACCAGCCACCGAAGGUUAGCUUGAUGCAUCUUUAAUGCACAUCCCAAAUGCAUAUUUCCAACGUCGUUAGCCUGGCAUAAUUCUCGAGGGGUGAUCGCGUUACCCCAACUCAAUACGACGUAUGUAAAUACGGAAUAAAAUCGCCCGAGCAUUCCUGGGUUAAGUCAACGUUACCGCCGUUAUGCCUGCCCUCAUGCGCCGUCAGACUAAACUGCAAGAGCAAGAAGGAACAAGGGCGACACCUGGCGUUGAAGAGCGUUCACUACCCUUUUACAUAUUUUCCUUCUUUCACGUCCUUCUCUAUAUCGACCAUCUGUGCGUAACAACCGCCACAUCGCGUAUAAACAAACGACCAGCUUACGUCCCGUCCUGUGUAUAAAUAAACGAACAACGAGGCGCGGCAUUCACAGCAAAACAAACGCCACGACUGAGCCGACGUCUCACGCACGACUCUGCACGUCUGGCGUUCCAGCAGACACGUACAACAACGACUGGAUUCACAACGUCUCGGCAUACGAAAACACAAUUCCCGCCUCUCUGCAAUUUCAAUUUUGCAAAUUGUGCGUACGCUAGGACUAAACUCACUUAACAAAAAUCUACGAGAAAUCUCAACAGACAUAAUAACUUUCGACUCGGAUUCAGUCGAUCGUCGCCAUCUUUAUACCAACGUCCGACGUUCAUACCUUAGACAGACUAAUAUGGCGUCUACGGAUAUCUGGAAAAUCACGAAGCCCGCUGACAGUACUCGUUACAGUUGACGAACUCGGCGUUAAAGUGUCGACUAAGAAAGACGGAAUUUCAUUGGGCGGCCGCCUAAAAUAUAUACAGUCCACGUUGUUUGGACGAGAAUCACGACAGAUGGCGGGGUUGGCAGUCCAGAUGUCGGCAAUUAAAUACGCGCCCAAGUGUAUACACAGAACGACGUUCGUUAUCUUCAGGCAUAAGAAGCGUGGAUGACGAUGGGCAUUAAAACGCAAAGUUUCCAAGUGGCUCGACUCGAGCGAGCGCAGGAGCGCGACUUCUUUGGCAAACAGGAAAGUUCAACGGCGACGGACGGUUACAUGGGAACGGCGCUCGUCAACACAGAAAUGUCGUUGUAACUCUACCGGUAGAGUCGGACGGCUUAGUACCCGGAAAGCCCGUAUAGCCAUUUCUGUCGUCGCGAUGAAAACUCGAAGUCGCGUUAAACGAACCGUGAAAUUAUCCUUGGUGUAAAUUUCAUAUAUAACAAAGUGUACACAUAAAAUGAUGCAGAAAUAUAAUUGAUACAAUUGUAUCGAUUGAUAAUAACGUCGGUUUAAUGAUAAGGCGAAAGGGGGAUAUAUAGAUAAUUAACGUCAGCAGAUACCAACG